AUUGAACGCUGGCGGCAGGCCUAACACAUGCAAGUCGAGCGGAGCGGCCGACGGGCGAGUAAUGACUAGGUAUCUGCCUGGCUGUGGGAGAUAAAGAACGAAAACGGGCGCUAAUACCGAAUACUAUCCGUUGAGCCUAGGUCGGAGUCGCUAGUUGGUGGGGUAAAGGCCUACCAAGGCGACGAUCCGUACCUGGUCUGAGAGGAUGAUCAGUCACACUGGAACUGAGACACGGUCCAGACUCCUACGGGAGGCAGCAGUGGGGAAUAUUGGACAAUGGGCGCAAGCCUGAUCCAGCCAUGCCGCGUGUGUGAAGAAGGUCUUCGGAUUGUAAAGCACUUUAAGUUGGGAGGCGUUACCAGCAGAAUAAGCACCGGCUAACUUCGUGCCAGCAGCCGCGGUAAUUC
rnacentral:rRNA from 1 species